rnacentral:rRNA from 1 species
AACGUAGGUGGCGAGCGUUAUCCGGAUUUACUGGGCGUAAAGCGUGUGCAGGUGGCCUGUUAAGUGGUGUAUGAAAUCGCCCGGCUCAACCGGGCGGGGUUAUGCCAGACUGGCAGGCUAGAGGGUGGGAGAGGGAUGCGGAAUUCCAGGUGUAGCGGUGAAAUGCGUAGAUAUCUGGAGGAACACCGGUGGCGAAGGCGGCAUCCUGGACCGGUAUUGACGCUGAGGCGCGAAAGCUAGGGGAGCAAACGGG